rnacentral:rRNA from 1 species
CAGAUAGAACAUUAUGCCUGGAAUGGUUUAUGUUUCAAAUGAUUUAUCGCCGUAGGAUGGGACUGCGGCCUAUCAGUUUGUUGGUGAGGUAAUGGCCCACCAAGACUAUUACAGGUACGGGCUCUGAGAGGAGUGGCCCGGAGAUGGGUACUGAGACACGGACCCAGGCCCUAUGGGGCGCAGCAGGCGAGAAAACUUUGCAAUGUGCGAAAGCACGACAAGGUUAAUCCGAGUGGUUUCUGUUAAAGAAACCUUUUGUCAGUCCUAGAAACACUAACGAAUAAGGGGUGGGCAAGUUCUGGUGUCAGCCGCCGCGGUAAAACCAGCACCUCAAGUGGUCAGGAUGAUUAUUGGGCCUAAAGCAUCCGUAGCCCGUUUUGUAAGUUUUCGGUUAAAUCCAUGCGCUUAACGUAUGGGCUGCCGGGAAUACUGCAUAACUAGGAAGUGGGAGAGGUAGACGGUACUCGGUAGGAAGGGGUAAAAUCCUUUGAUCUAUUGAUGACCACCUGUGGCGAAGGCGGUCUACCAGAACACGUUCGACGGUGAGGGAUGAAAGCUGGGGGAGCAAACCGGAUUAGAUACCCGGGUAGUCCCAGCUGUAAACUAUGCAAACUCAGUGAUGCAUUGGCUUAUGGCCAAUGCAGUGCUGCAGGGAAGCCGUUAAGUUUGCCGCCUGGGAAGUACGUACGCAAGUAUGAAACUUAAAGGAAUUGGCGGGGGAGCACCACAAGGGGUGAAGCCUGCGGUUC